rnacentral:tRNA from 13 species
UGUAAUUUAAAAGGUUAAAAUGCAAUUCUCAUAAAGUUGUUAUUAAAGGUUCGAUUCCUUUCU